GACCAGGGCGGCGUGCUAAUACAUGCAAGUCGAGCGGACAGAAGGGAGCUUGCUCCCGGAUGUUAGCGGCGGACGGGUGAGUAACACGUGGGUAACCUGCCUGUAAGACUGGGAUAACUCCGGGAAACCGGAGCUAAUACCGGAUAGUUCCUUGAACCGCAUGGUUCAAGGAUGAAAGACGGUUUCGGCUGUCACUUACAGAUGGACCCGCGGCGCAUUAGCUAGUUGGUGGGGUAAUGGCUCACCAAGGCGACGAUGCGUAGCCGACCUGAGAGGGUGAUCGGCCACACUGGGACUGAGACACGGCCCAGACUCCUACGGGAGGCAGCAGUAGGGAAUCUUCCGCAAUGGACGAAAGUCUGACGGAGCAACGCCGCGUGAGUGAUGAAGGUUUUCGGAUCGUAAAGCUCUGUUGUUAGGGAAGAACAAGUGCGAGAGUAACUGCUCGCACCAUGACGGUACCUAACCAGAAAGCCACGGCUAACUACGUGCCAGCAGCCGCGGUAAUACGUAGGUGGCAAGCGUUGUCCGGAAUUAUUGGGCGUAAAGGGCUCGCAGGCGGUUUCUUAAGUCUGAUGUGAAAGCCCCCGGCUCAACCGGGGAGGGUCAUUGGAAACUGGGAAACUUGAGUGAUGAAAAAAACAUUGGAACUCCCCGUGUGGCGUAGAAAAGCGUAAAAAU
rnacentral:rRNA from 1 species